AUUGAACGCUGGCGGCAUGCCUUACACAUGCAAGUCGAACGGCAGCACGGGUGCUUGCACCUGGUGGCGAGUGGCGAACGGGUGAGUAAUACAUCGGAACAUGUCCUGUAGUGGGGGAUAGCCCGGCGAAAGCCGGAUUAAUACCGCAUACGAUCUACGGAUGAAAGCGGGGGACCUUCGGUCCUCGCGCUAUAGGGUUGGCCGAUGGCUGAUUAGCUAGUUGGUGGGGUAAAGGCCUACCAAGGCGACGAUCAGUAGCUGGUCUGAGAGGACGACCAGCCACACUGGGACUGAGACACGGCCCAGACUCCUACGGGAGGCAGCAGUGGGGAAUUUUGGACAAUGGGCGAAAGCCUGAUCCAGCAAUGCCGAGUGUGUGAAGAAGGCCUUCGGGUUGUAAAGCACUUUUGUCCGGAAAGAAAUCCUUGGCCCUAAUACGGUCGGGGGAUGACGGUACCGGAAGAAUAAGCACCGGCUAACUACGUG
rnacentral:rRNA from 1 species